UUAUAUUCAGUGUAUGGAAUGAUUGUAAGGUGAUCAUGUCCAUAUGACAGGGGUUUUAAGGCCCGGUUUUGGUGUGCAUAUAGAGCGUUGUAAAUACCGUCGACUGGUCGGUGAUAAAUGGUGUCGGUGAUAAUUUGGUAACAACUUGAUGUUUGCUGAUAUAAAUUACAACGCCUGUAGUCGGUGCAAUUAUCCGUGUACAAAUAUGCAAAAGGUCCGUUAUAAAUAUAUAUAUCAAAGAAUUAGAGCAGUCCGUGCAGUGUUAUGAAGUUUGAAGUCGUUAUUGCUCACUGAAGUUAUCGUUGAAGUAUUAUAUAUAAUCUAGUGUUCUCCUCACCAAUCAUUAGUUAGAAUUUGUGAAAAUUAGAUAAAUUCGUUCGUUUUGUGAUGAAUUGAAAUCCAAGGAGAACAACCGGAUUUGAUAUUUCUACAAUAUCUGCAACUUUCAACAUUACCGGGAGGUGUGCAGAAUUAAUGAUGUGAAGACUGUGAAAUCAUUCAGUUGACAUUGUUCGUUUUUGCUUCGCAUCACGGUGUGGAGCUAUUAGUUUCAGUCGAUAUACACGCCACCUUGAAAUAAUUACUUAUCACAUAAAGAUUCUGAUUGGUUGCUUUAUGAUUCGGCUGAGAUACAGCAACAGCUAUUGGCUUAAUGAGAUAAAGAAUUACAGACUUUUCUCGUCCCAGGAUAAGACAUUAAAUGCCGGAAAAUUAACUAUGUGUAUUUCAGUUCCGAUCAUUAUUAAUUCAUGUUCGUUUUAUUAUGCAAAUAUUGCACACUGAAAUUCAAUAUUGAAAUAUUAAAUUUUUUUAACACCUGU